rnacentral:pre_miRNA from 1 species
CCACAACUUAAAUGUGGAUGUACUUGUUUUGUUCCUGAAAAGUAAGUGCUUCCAUGUUUUAGUGAUGG